UGAGAAAAUUUUAAGAAAUGAAUAAUCAAAAAGAUUGUUUUAACGAUUUAGGUUGUGUUCCUUGUGAACCAGAAGGCUUGAUCCGUGGGGAUUGAGAGAUUAUCAGCGUUUAUGAUUCAGUUCUUGUUAUUGUACAUAUAUACAUAACAAUUGGUAUCAAAUUCACUUUCCUGAGUUAAAUUUCUCAAUGGUGGAACUUCAACAAACCUUGCAGAGUAUACACCGCAGUUUGGAUCUGAUUUGUAAGUUCCUCAACAUUCCUAACCCUCACCCCAACAACACUGAUGCUUCAAAAAAUUGGAGAAUCUACUACACCGAUUAGAGAUUUCAAGGUUGUGGAAUCUGAAGAGGCAAUACCAAUUCCUAUGGGUAUUGAUGAAGAAGCAGAUGAUUCGCUUGAGUUGGAAUUGAUUCCUCCAUUUUUCUUUGUCGAUAAUGAAGAAGUUGACUCUCUAGAGGCUUUGAUUCCUUCAUUUUUAUUCGAUGAAGCAAAUGAAGAUUCAACCACUGUUGUAAUCUACUCAAUUGCAACCAGAUCUAGGAGUUUUCAAUUCAACAAAAUCGUCAAAGCUGAAGGGAAUUUUUUUGAAAGUAAGAAUCAGAUGAAAUUGGGUGAGUGUUAAAAAUUAUUCUUAAUUCUUCUCAUAGCAUAUUCGAUCGUGGAAAAGAGUUUAAACUUAUGGCAGGGACUUCUCGUUUUGCCAUGUGUGAUUCUUUGUUUUGAUUUAUUUUGGAUAAAUUCUUUGAGGAAAAUGUUCAGGAGUUUAUUUUUGAACAUGGGUACUGGUCAUUUACAUGGUUUAGAGAUAAAAUUUCUCGUAUGUUAGCUAAUGGUAGAGUUUCUAGUACUGCUUGGCAACUACUUGUUAAAAUACUUCUACCGGAUACUGUAUGUUCCGAGCACAAAAUUCAUACGGAUAUAGUUCAACUUAUUAAUUCUCGCUUGUUAUUCGAUCGAUGUCGUCAGCGUGCUGUUGUUUCAUCAAAUUCUUAUGGUAAAUUCAUUCUUCAAUUCAUUCUUCGCCUAGGGUAUGAAUCAGUUUUGAGGAAUAUCAAUUAAAUUCUUCUCUCAUGUGCUAAUUGGGUUGAAAUUCAUGGAAAGAAGAAGAUUUUUAUUCAAAUGGCUGAUAGCAGUGGAAUUGUGUUAGGCAUGUUGGUCAGGGUAAUUGGUAUGGACACUUCUACGGUUACAAGAAUUUAUUAUUCCUGGGAUACUUCUACGGUUGGUUCUGUUCAACUUCUUAGGGAAGUUUUUGCUUCAACACUGAGAAGUUAUAUCAACUCUGGUUUUUAUGUUCAAAUGAUGGAAAUGGUUUUAGCUCAACUGUAUAGACUAGUACAUUGAGCACUAGAAGAUCAUAGUCGACUGAAUAUCUUUCACAUCUAUUAGAAAUUCGUGUCUCAAUUGCUGCAGAUAACUCUCAAAUUGCAUUAAUGUUGCUGGUCUCUUCUGAUAUGCUCAAAGUUGUAAGUUCAGCAGAUGAACUUGUUCGAUCUAAUUUUUAUACUUCUACAUUGUUGCAUCCGCUUUCAAGAAGUUGCUUUAGCUUCUCCAGACUUUCUCAAAUAAUUGAGUACAAGGAUACGGCAAGUUACCAAGUCGUAGUUCUUAUCAAGUCUUCUCACUGGAUAUAUGAUAGAGGCAAGAUGUUCAUUAGUCAUGGAUGUUUCUCUUUCUCUGCUACUAGUGAAUAUUGUGUGGUUGCAAUUACUUCUGGAGUCACGGUGUUCCUAACAUCGACAUGGAUGGGUGAAUACGGGUAUGGACAGAUAAUGACAUUACAGUUGCUGCUUAUAGUGAUUCACAUUCCAUUAGUGUUUGUGGUAUCCUUACAGUAGGAACUAAAUUUGUUUCUUAUGGCCUUCUAGAGUGCAAGGAUUGUCAGAAGAUUGUGUCCCCAUUCUCAGGUGUUUGUUCGAGUUUACUUUUCUCUUACCAGGCUUGUGAGCUCAUAUUGUACCUCAGCUGGCAAUGUCUUUUUACAAAUGCUUAAAGUUGAAGGUGUCCAGAAUACGAAGAGAAGUUGCAGCAAUAAGCCGAGCAGAGCUUACGGAAGCAUUAGCGCUAUGAAAAUGAUGUGGUGUUCGAAAUUUGUAUCCUUAAACCGCGUAUAUGAGAAAAGGAUCUCUUCAAGAGAACGUUUGGAACAACUUGUAAGUUCUGGAUGACUAUUGCCGACGAAGUUAAGGACCAAAAACAACCGAGUAUUAUUGAAGAUUUAAAAGGAUCCAAGAAGGUCGUGGGAAAUGUCAGGAAGUCCGGCGGAACAGAUAAUCCAAUCUAAGCGUAGAACUAGUUGAUGGGUAUUGAGAGGAGUUCCAUGCUAUGAAAGUACUGAAAGAGAAGUAAGGUUAGGAUGGCGUUAAGGUAGGAGAUUUUCUCACUCGAUUUGGUUUGAAUUUUUUCCUGUGCUAACUGAUUUUAGACCAUAAAAUUUUAAUGAUUUCCUUUCCUUUUAAAAAUGAAAAAAAAAAAAAGAAACUUACACUUUUGGUUAAGUAAGAAGAAAUUUGUUCUGUGUUGCUUUUUAAUGCAUUUUGUUAAUUAAGAAGGUGGCGAAAAGUUUCUUUGCCUAUUGGGAAAGCUAACCGAAGUGUGUUGUCGAUGCUUACCCCAAACCAGUUCUGUUCAUGAUGUUUUCUUUUUCUGUCCAGAGAAUUAUAAGUCUCUUGAAGUAUUGUAACUUCAUUUUUUCUUCUUUAAAGAUUAUUACAAGUCCUUGAAAGAUUUGAUAUUAUGAAACUGCAUAUUUUUUCUUGAUUAGACGACAUUUCCAAAAGCUGAAUUGAAUUGAAAUUUUACUCAGAAGGUAAUGAAAUUGGUCAUGAACCUGGUUUGUUGAAAAACUAUUGAUCUGACUCAUGAGCCCAGCCUACUUGUUUUUAAAGGAAUUUCAUUCCUUCGCAGUACUUGCUUUGAUGUUUAACAGUAUACUACCAUGGUUGCCCAGUUCUCGUUCUUGAAAUAUUAGUUUUCCAUCAUAUCUUUUGUCCUUGAAGGGAUAACAAAAAUCACAUUUUUAAUUGCUGUCUUUUUUUUGCUAUCAACUUUAUUAGAUUCACCACUUGGUAUUUAUUGAACAUACAGUCCCUUCCCUUGUUGUUCUUUAUCCUUGUAGUAAAUGAAAGUGAACUUCUUUGGGUUUACUUGAUAUAGAAAACUUGUACCUCACACUAGCUUAAUAAUUAUAUUUGAUAUAUU